CCUACGGGAGGCAGCAGUGGGGAAUAUUGGACAAUGGGGGCAACCCUGAUCCAGCCAUGCCGCGUGUGUGAAGAAGGCCCUCGGGUUGCAAAGCACUUUCAGUGAGGAAGAACGCCUGGUGGUUAAUACCCAUCAGGAAAGACAUCACUCACAGAAGAAGCACCGGCUAACUCCGUGCCAGCAGCCGCGGUAAUACGGAGGGUGCGAGCGUUAAUCGGAAUUACUGGGCGUAAAGCGCGCGUAGGUGGCUUGAUAAGCCGGUUGUGAAAGCCCCGGGCUCAACCUGGGAACGGCAUCCGGAACUGUCAAGCUAGAGUGCAGGAGAGGAAGGUAGAAUUCCCGGUGUAGCGGUGAAAUGCGUAGAGAUCGGGAGGAAUAACAGUGGCGAAGGCGGCCUUCUGGACUGACACUGACACUGAGGUGCGAAAGCGUGGGUAGCAAACAGGAUUAGAUACCCCUGUAGUC
rnacentral:rRNA from 1 species